AGGAUAGAGGCCUACCAUGGUGGUAACGGGUAACGGGGAAUUAGGGUUCGAUUCCGGAGAGGGAGNNUGAGAAACGGCUACCACAUCCAAGGAAGGCAGCAGGCGCGCAAAUUACCCAAUCCCGACACGGGGAGGUAGUGACAAUAAAUAACAAUACGGGGCUCUUUCGGGUCUCGUAAUUGGAAUGAGUACAAUUUAAAUCCCUUAACGAGGAACAAUUGGAGGGCAAGUCUGGUGCCAGCAGCCGCGGUAAUUCCAGCUCCAAUAGCGUAUAUUAAAGUUGUUGCAGUUAAAAAGCUCGUAGUUGAAUUUCGGGAUUGACACAUCGGUCGUGCCCUAAGGGGUAUGAACUGGCGUAGUCAAUUUCUCACCUUCUGGAGAACCGCGAUGCCCUUAAUUGGGUGUCGCGGGGAACCAGGACCUUUACUUUGAAAAAAUUAGAGUGUUUAAAGCAGGCAUUUUGCUUGAAUACAUUAGCAUGGAAUAAUAAAAUAGGACGGCAUGAUUCUAUUUUGUUGGUUUCUAGGAUCACCGUAAUGAUUAAUAGGGAUAGUUGGGGGCAUUAGUAUUCAAUUGUCAGAGGUGAAAUUCUUGGAUUUAUUGAAGACUAACUACUGCGAAAGCAUUUGCCAAGGAUGUUUUCAUUAAUCAAGAACGAAAGUUAGGGGAUCGAAGACGAUCAGAUACCGUCGUAGUCCUAACCAUAAACUAUGCCGACUAGGAAUCAGACGAUGU
rnacentral:rRNA from 1 species